CAGCAGCCGCGGUAAUACGUAGGGGGCGAGCGUUGUCCGGAUUUACUGGGCGUAAAGGGUGAGUAGGCGGUUAUAUAUGUCAGAUGUAAAAGGCUAUGGCUUAACCAUAGUUGGCAUUUGAAACUGUAUGACUUGAGUGCAGGAGAGGUAAGUGGAAUUCCUAGUGUAGCGGUGAAAUGCGUAGAUAUUAGGAGGAACACCAGUGGCGAAGGCGACUUACUGGACUGUAACUGACGCUGAGUCACGAAAGCGUGGGUAGCAAACAGGAUUAGAUACCCUGGUAGUCCACGCUGUAAACGAUGAGUGCUAGGUGUUGGGUAGCGAUACUCAGUGCCGCAGUAAACACAAUAAGCACUCCGCCUGGGGAGUACGUACGCAAGUAUGAAACUCAAAGGAAUUGAC
rnacentral:rRNA from 1 species